AUACGUAGGGGGCCUAGCGUUGUCCGGAUUUACUGGGCGUAAAGGGUGAGUAGGCGGUUACAUAUGUCAGAUGUAAAAGGCUAAGGCUUAACCAUAGUAUGCAUUUGAAACUGUGUGACUUGAGUACAGGAGAGGUAAGCGGAAUUCCUAGUGUAGCGGUGAAAUGCGUAGAUAUUAGGAGGAACACCAGUGGCGAAGGCGGCUUACUGGACUGUAACUGACGCUGAGUCACGAAAGCGUGGGUAGC
rnacentral:rRNA from 1 species